UACGUAGGGGGCUAGCGUUGUCCGGAAUUACUGGGCGUAAAGCGCGCGUAGGCGGACAUUUAAGUCAGGGGUGAAAUCCCAGAGCUCAACUCUGGAACUGCCUUUGAUACUGGGUAUCUCGAGUAUGGAAGAAGUGAGUGGAAUUCCGAGUGUAGAGGUGAAAUUCGUAGAUAUUCGGAGGAACACCGGUGGCGAAGGCGGCUCACUGGUCCAUUACUGACGCUGAGGUGCGAAAGCGUGGGGAGCAAACAGG
rnacentral:rRNA from 1 species